GACGAACGCUGGCGGCGUGCUUAACACAUGCAAGUCGAACGGAAAGGCCCUGCUUUUGUGGGGUGCUCUAGUGGCGAACGGGUGAGUAACACGUGAGUAACCUGCCCUUGACUUUGGGAUAACUUCAGGAAACUGGGGCUAAUACCGGAUAGGAGCUCCUGCUGCAUGUUGGGGGGUGGAAAGUUUCGGCGGUUGUGGAUGUACUCGGGGCUUAUGAGCUUGUUGGUGGGGUAGUGGCUUACCAAGGCAUUGACGGGUAGCCGGCCUGGGAAGGUGAACGGGGACAAUGGGACUGCGGGAGGGAGCAGACGGGAACCGGCGGCAAUAGUCGGGAGUCUGGCACAGUGAGCGGGAGCCAGAUGCAGCGGCGCUGCGUGCGUGAAGAUGGGUUUCGGGUUGUAAACCGGUUCCGGCGUAGACGAAGCGUGAGUGACGGUACUUGGUAAGAAAGCAACGGCUAACUACGUG
rnacentral:rRNA from 1 species